UAACAUUUAAGUUCCGAAUAAUUUUUUUUUGAGGGGAAAGUUCUGAAUAAAUUGAAAACGUUAAAUUCUCAGUCCACCAACAGUGACCUCAAAAAUGUCACUGAGACCAAACAUCAAACACCUCAUCGACGCUUUCCCCUCCGCCGCCCGCCAUUUCUCCCACCACCUAAACCGCCGCCCACAGCCACCAACACCGAAGCAGGAUCCUUACGCCCUACUCAAAGAGGACCCAGUCCAAGUCCUAUCAGAUCUCUGGGUUAAAUCCUUCUCCCAAACCCAAAAGCCCUUCCAAAAUCUCACCGGUUUCCUCUCAAAACUCGACCUCUGGGUCCUAGCCUACCAGCGCGCCUGCGCUCACGCCACCGGCUCUUACCCUCCCAAAAACGCCAUUCCCUCUCACACGCUCUCCAGCCUCGUCUCCCUCCGAGACGCCGUCGUCCGCAGCCAGUUCCGCUGGAAUUCGAAGCUCGAGCAGCUCAUUCGCAGCCCUAAGGAGAAGCCCAUCACCUUACUCUCAAGACGGAAGCUUGAAUCCAUAUUGAGCUCCGGUGAUCCGCCGUUUCAGGACCGGGUAGUUCAGGAGGUUCUAUUGAUGAUUCUGGAACCUGUUUUCGAGGCGCGAUUUUCUGCGAAAUCCCAUGCUUUCCGCCCAGGUAGGAAUCCCCACACUGUUAUUAGAACAAUCAGGAGUAAUUUUGCUGGCUACUUGUGGUUUAUACGAGGCGAUUUAAGUGAGAUUAUUGAUAAUGUAAAUUCUAGCGUUGUAUUGGGACGUGUUGGAGAAUCUGUGAAAGACAGGAAGGUUUUGAGCUUGAUUAAAUCUGGGUUGAAAGAGGUAGGGAAAAGGCACAAUCAAUUGGAAGAUGAAGGCAAGACUGUGAGUAGAAAGAAAAGGAAGAAGGGACAGACAAGGAAGAGGAUAUUGAAUGAUGACGAGCCUAAGCCCGAUCCUUAUUGGUUGAGGACGUUUUACGAUUUCUCUCCCGAGGAGGCUGCAGAGGUGCCUAAUUAUGGUUAUUGUGGAAUUUUGAGUCCUCUGCUGAUGAAUGUUUGUCUGAAUGAGCUUGAUUAUAUGAUUGAAAAUAAGAUAGUAGAGUUUUUUAGGCCAUCUGAGAAUGAUUCGAUAUGGAAGUAUUCGAUAAAUGAUGGUUGUCAUAACCCUUCUUGGCCAGAGUUUGUACCCUCGAGUGGCAAGAAGAAGACUCGGAAGAUGGAUUACAUUAGGUAUGCUGGUCAUUUUCUAAUCGGUAUAAGGGGUCCUAGAGAGGAAGCUGUGGGAAUAAGGAAGGAAAUAAUCGAGUUCUGUGACAGAGCGUUUGGGAUCAGGUUGGACAAUUCAAAAGUGGGAAUUGAGCAUAUAACAAGGGGAAUUCAGUUUCUUGAUCAUAUUGUAUGCCGUAGAAUUAUACAUCCAACUCUUCGUUACACUGGAAAUGGUGGCAACAUUGUGAGAGAGAAAGGUGUGGGGACUUUGCUUUCGGUUACAGCUAGCCUGCAACAAUGUAUUCGCCAGUUCAGGCGGCUUGCGUUUGUGAAGGGUGAUAAAGACCCCGAGCCACUGCCCUGCACGCCUAUGCUGUAUUCGGGUCAAGCACACACCAAUGCCCAAAUGAAUAAGUUACUGGAAACCAUGGCUGAUUGGUACAGAUAUGCAGAUAACAGGAAGAAAAUCAUUGGUUUCUGUGCAUAUGUCAUCCGAAGCUCUCUGGCUAAGUUAUAUGCUGCAAGGUAUCGGUUAAAAUCUCGUGCUAAGGUGUAUAAGAUUGCUGCACGCGACCUUAGCCGUCCACUGAGGGAAAGUACUAACAAUUCUGCCCCCGAGUACUCUGACCUCUUGCGAAUGGGACUUGUUGAGGCCAUUGAAGGUGUUCAAUUUUCUCAUAUGUCGUUGAUCCCAUCUUGUGAUUAUACUCCUUUCCCUAGGAAUUGGGUCCCUGAUCAUGAGAAGUUGUUGCAGGAGUAUAUCAGAUUACAAGAUGCGAAAUUUUUCUGUGAACUCAACAAAUCAGUUAAACAACAAGGUUUAUGUUUGCCUCAAGACAAGAUAUCUGAGAUUGUGUGGGACUACAAAGUUCUUGGGUGCUCGAGUGACCGAUUUAGAAAUGAUAAAGAGACACAAAAUACACCAUAGAGGGUAUCUCAAACAGCAUAAUUGCCUUUAGAAAGAGGAAUUGUUUGCUCUUCCUACUGGAAUUUCUGAGAUAGCCUCCAAAAAGUUUGACUGCGUUUGCUGGUUCAAAGGCAGAGAUCGGCUGGUCACGGGACAAACCAAGCGACGAGGUAAAUUUGACCGUGUCAUCGGAGGUGACCCCAACAUGUACGUCGCUGACUCCAGCCGUGAUGAAGUACUGCUUCGCUUGGAGCCCUGUGAUAUUCUUCAUGUGUGACCGUUCGAUGGAGGAUGUGAUCUCUGCAUCAUAUAUCAGACUCCCUAGGCCCGGGAAGUAGUGUUCCGUUUUCGCCUUCUGCUUCAACCAGAAGAACCCCGUGGAUCGGUUCAAACCAACCUCCUCAACUUCACCCAUACGGAACACGCCUUUCGGCACCGAGAAUUCCUCCAAGAGCUUCCCUAGCUUCUCCCCGCAUGCUUCUCCCUGGUUCAAAUGCAGCAAUGGCGUGGACGCGGUAAAUACCGGUGCUACUGACAAACUUAACCUUAUCACUGGUUGGGACUCCCACGUGCAUCUCGGCGACCGGGAGUGAGAGGAAGAGCUCCUUCCCCUUCACUCCCAUGAUCUUCGACACGCGACGGGGCUCGAUGAAACCGGCCAGUUGCGUGUCGAAGUAAGAGGUCCCGACCUUAUCCACUUUGCGCUCCGUUUUCUUCUUCUGCUUGAGCCAGUAGAACCCGGUGCCCCGGUUGAACCCGAACUCCUCGACCUCGCCCAGCCCGAAGAAGAGGCACCGCGGCACCGAGAACUCGUCCAACAUUUUGUCGAGCUUCUCGCCGCAGCUUGCGCCGCGGUAAAUCUCUGCUCCCAUGCUCUGGCUUCCGAUCAUCUUUGCUGUUGCCAUUUUCUCUUUCACUGCAUCCCUUCUUCAAAUAUUGUUGCACUUUUAUAUCUACAAAUUUGCCUCUUCACUCCCUAGCUACUUAAUUAUCUAGCUAACACCCCUAUAUACAGUUUUUAAACUAAGCUAUGUAUUGUAGGUGAUGGUAUGGUAGAUUGCACAAGAAAUAUAGAUAGAUAGAUAGAUAGAUAGAUAGAUAGAUGGACAGUAACAUUGUCUGAAAUGUUAGAAUUUGGGAACAGAACAGCGAUGUUCUGUUCUGUUAUCAAA